rnacentral:pre_miRNA from 1 species
UCUAGAACUUGAGAUAUGGGCUGAACACUGAACAGUGUCUGAGUUGCAGGACAGAUUCGGACUUCUCAGUUGUUGCUAUAAUUUGGACUUGAAAUCAGCCUUUUUAAAUCUUGGACUCCUCAUGAAAGUUUUAGGCCUAUGUCUUAGCUUUCCAUC